AGGCGCUACUUCAUUUCUCUGCGCUGUCUGAGGGGGAAACCUUCACGCAGGAGCGAGAGCUGCUCCAGCGCCAAGGUGGGGGAGGGAGUCUAUGUAUUUUCUUUUUAAUUUAAAAGGUUUUUUGUGGCAAUGGCGAUGUUUUUUCCGCGGGGCUCGGGCGGCCCCGCCCCGGGGGCGGCGCGGCAGCCCCGGCCGGCUCCCGCCGGCUCAGACCGGUUCUCAGCGCAAACAACCGCCCCCCGCUCGCCGGGGCAGCGCGGCGGCGAAACUCCCGCUUUCCUCCAGAAACACCCGCUUUCCCCUCACGGAACACCCGCUUUUCCCCUCAGGAACACCCGCGUUUCCCUCAGGAACACCCGCGUUUCCCUCAGGAACACCCGCUCUCCCCGCCCCCCAGAAACAGCCGGGUCAGGCGACUCCGCGGCCGCGCCGCCAUUACAGCGGCGGGCGCGCUCCGCCGGCUGUGAGGCGAGAGAAAGCGGCGGGGUUUCGGAGCGAGAUAAAAAAAAAUCUUAUUAUGCAACGCACAUUUUUAAUAGAUUACUGCCGGGUCCGGGGCUGAGGUAACGCGGGCUGUCAGCAGCUGGGGCGAGAGGCUGAGGGACAAGCGGGCUGCGGCCGCUCCCUGCCAAGGGCGCCGAGGCACCAUUUCUUCACCAUCCGUGAGGAGAACUUAAAUAUAUCACGUUAUUUUUUUCCACAGAAGGAUCUGUUUAUGUGGUUACACAUGCACAGGUACGUCUUUUUCGGCAUAUCUCGAGCAUAAAGGUUUGCUUUCUGUGUUACAAUCUCUCCAAAGCCAUCUGAAAACGUUCUGCCUCUGCUCAAUCUCAAGAAACCCGAUACAGUCCCAAGGGUAAAAAAAGCCACGUUUAAAGGAUGGUCUCGGUUAUAUUUAGCUGAGCAGCAGCACCGGCUGACACGAGCAGAAACACAAGGAAGAACAAAGUGAAAACGCUCGACAGUUGUUAACAAAAACCUGCGAGUAUCUGAGGUGGAGUUUUUUUCUAAAUUUUCCUUUCCCUAAUUUCACAUUUUGCCGUGCAGAGAGAACAUUAAAGCAGCACAUGGGUUUAUGUGAACAAAAGGUCUUCAAAACCACAAGCAAGGAAACCCAAACUUCUCCUUCACCACCUUACUGCUUUUUCACAGCUUCUGAAGGACAGUACCCAGCACAAAGUUCCCAUGAGUGCUGAACACCCACCGUGUGCCCCAAACACCCCCAGGGCAGGGAACACAGCUCUGCCAGCUGAGACCAACAGGACGAGACUCGAGUGACCACGUUCUUAAAUUUCAGAAGAAUGCAGUGUCAUAAAGAACUUAAUAAUACCAUGGCCCCUCAAAAUUGGCCAUUUCCACUUAUAAAAAACCUGUAAGAGAAUCUCCAGCUUGCUAAAAUCCUCGAGACCACGGAAAUUGCAGGAAUAAUUAUUCUCCAGACAAAAGAAACUGGAUGUAUUACAGAGCAAGUGGGAGUACCGAACCACGGAAAAGGGGGUGAGGCAGCUUUUGCUCACCAACAGUGUAUGAGGGGCUUAAUAUUUACAUGGCUAAAUUUCAACUGUGUUGAAAAUUAAACACUUGUGCUUUGAAAGACUUCAAGGCCUGGUGGGGUUUUGCUUCCCAAAGUAAAGAGAGGGUUAAAUGUUUAUUAUUAUCUAACUGAUUGCUAAGAAAAAUGUAAAACUCUUUUCUGAUCCUUCAAAAUUAAAUAUACAAUCCACCAGAUUCCAUUACUUGCUUGACUGAGUUUGAUUUUAUUGUAUUAAUAAGAAAAAAAUGUUUUAUUUCCUCCCAGAGUAUAGUCUACUUUUCCAUUACUACAACUAGAAAUUGCCAAGAAAAUGAAAUGCUCAAGCACAGCAGAUGCUGCUUUUCUUCUCAUUAAAUCUUAAAACUUGGUUCCAGUGGGAUCAUAUUUUAGUCCUCUCAAAUUCAGAACAGGAUUUCAUCCUGCCUCGACAUCCCAACAAUGACAUUUUAUAAAUAUUACGAGUUUCUUGGACGCCUUUCUCAUUCCACAAGGAGCAGAGGAGCACCAGUAGAGAUUUCUUCUUCUUCCCCUGCUCAAGAUUUUUUUUAUUAAAACUUAAAUGUAACCAGCCCUCCUUUCAAUCUAUUUUCUCUAUGAUUUUUUUGAGACCUCUGGAAAUCUCACAGCUUUUUCUGGGCUGUAAUAACUGUGAAAAAUCUUUGACAAAGGAUUGUCUUUAUUCAAGCAUUAAACUCUCGUUGAGAGAGAUGCUGGAAAUAAACAAGUGCUUAAAAGCAACCUAAAAGUUGUCUUAAAUCUUCACCUGCUCUCUAACCGAGACAGGAUCUGGAUUUCUAAAUCCAAGAAGAGAAAACAGUAAUUAAAAUAAGUAAAUAAACCCUUGCAUGAUUCUUUAGACAUGAGGGGGUGGGGCAAUCAGAAGAGGAGACACUGAUUUCCUCAUCUUCCGUACACUCUCCGUGGGUGUCAGCCCAGCUCACCCUUCCAGAAGGUUCAACAUUCAAGAUAUUUUGUAAAGCAUGCAAAUACAGAGCUAUUGCAGAACCAAGGACUCACAUCCCCAGGAAUUGCAAACUUGGAUUAUUUUUUUUUAAUUCUUCCAAGUCUGCAAAUUUUGCUGUGAGGCAGCAGGGCGAGAAAUGGGAAGGCGACAAAUCAUCCUCAUGAAUGUCAGAAACAAUACCACUCAUCAUUUCCCAAACUAUGUUGAAGUGUGGUCUGUAAAAAGCAGCUGACCUUAAAAUUUGCUUGAAGCAAAUAAAAGUAACCCUGUUCACCAGGCACACAGGAAGGAGGCCUUGUGUCUGUACAUCCCUGCUCUGCCCAGCCACCAUCUUACAGAUGGACCCACCAUGGAAAAUGACAAACAACAGCACCAGCGUUCCCCUUGGAGCCAGCUGAGCCUUUUGACAUUUCACUGCAGAUCACUUCUCAACGACCAAAGCUUUGCCACAGAACAACUCCUCGGGCUCACACCUCGGGGAACGACCCGCACAGCCCACGGCACAGAGACCCACGGCACAGAGACCCACGGCACAGAGACCCACGGCACAGAGACCCACGGCACAGAGACCUACCUGUCGCUGCUGGUACUGCUGCUGCUGCUGAGGGAGUCGC